ensembl:lncRNA
GGGCAUGCCUUUAGCGUCUUCUUUCACGCCCACACUUCCCCUUUAACGUUCUCAUGCUGUCCUCUGUCACGUCCGCCUUUUCUCUGUAUAAGCAGCGUGUCGGCAGGAAAUGCUCUCAGUCAGUCAAGCGGAGCCCUCAUCAAAGUCACACAAUAACAUUUACAGAUUUUGGAACUCGGUGCACACAUAAGGCGCACCGCAUUAUAAGGCGCUCUGUCCAUUUUGGAGAAAAUUUAAGACUUUUAAGUGCGCCUUAUGGUCGCGAAAGUACGGUAAUCAAUAAUUAGCCAAUUUGCCUGUCUAAAGAGAAACUCACUUAGAACUCUAUGUUAACAGUACUAAAUAAAUCAAUCUGUCAGGGCUGCUCCAGCAGGCUCUGGCUAGGGCUCCUCCCUCCUUUUGUGUUUCUUCCUUUUUUAGGUAUCCUGAGUGUUGUGGCAGCAGCGGCAGGUGAACAAUCAGGGGCAGUCAGCGGAAGCAGGAACAGGUGUGUCGGAGCCAGUCAGUCUUCCACCUCCUCUCCAUAUAUUCAGACGCCAGUCACCACUUGGACGCCAGAUUGUGAAUGCACAUAUUGGAACCGUCUGCCCCUCUUUGGACUUCCCUACAACUACAGUUCCAGGCAGACACCGGGAUCCUCUUCACCCACUCGCCAUCUUCAGUCUGGACCCCAUUCUGCCGUCGCUGCCUCUAUCUUCAGCUCAGCCCUCAGCCCGUUACCCCCCUAGUCAGCUGUCCGUCCCCAGCACGAGCCAGGUUGAGCUCUGGAUUUAACACCUUCGCAGCCACAGGUUGGAGACGGGGCUCGCUUUGAUCAGUGGAGCUGAGACACCAAGACACUGCAAGCAAGACAUUCUCCAGAUCUGGCACGAGGGCGCAGACUAACGAAACAGGAGGAGGCAAGCACAAGAGCCGACUUUGGAGAAUUCCCCUACACAGACCUCCAUGGAUGUAUAUUGGGCCUGUUUUAGCCUCGAGACUGGUUUAAACCCCCAGUCACUCUCCAACCU